rnacentral:rRNA from 1 species
UACGUAGGUGGCAAGCGUUGUCCGGAAUUAUUGGGCGUAAAGCGCGCGCAGGCGGCUUCUUAAGUCUGAUGUGAAAUCUUGCGGCUCAACCGCGGAGGGUCAUUGGAAACUGGGGAGCUUGAGUGCAGGAGAGGAGAGUGGAAUUCCACGUGUAGCGGUGAAAUGCGUAGAGAUGUGGAGGAACACCAGUGGCGAAAGCGGCUCUCUGGCCUGUCACUGACGCUGAGGUGCGAAAGCGUGGGGAGCAAACAGG